GAUGAAGAACGCAGCGAAAUGCGAUAAGUAGUGUGAAUUGCAGAAUUCAGUGAAUCAUCGAAUCUUUGAACGCACAUUGCGGCCAUAGGUAUUCCUUUGGCCAUGCCUGUUCGAGCGUCAUUUACACCCUCAAGCCUAGCUUGGUGUUGGGCGUCUGUCCCGCCGUUCUCGCGCGCGGACUCGCCUCAAAGUCAUUGGCGGCGGUCGUGCCGGCCCCCUCGCGCAGCACAUUUGCGCUUCUCGGAGGCACGGCGGAUCCGCGCUCCAGCAAGACCUUUCACGACUUGACCUCGGAUCAGGUAGGGAUACCCGCUGAACUUAAGCAUAUCAAUAAGCGGAGGA
rnacentral:misc_RNA from 1 species